AUCAGAUGUUUAUUUCAGAACUUACAGUGUUGUCUAGUCAUUUGCUGGCAUGCACUACAAAGCUGUCAUUACUGAAAAAUGGUUGUAACAUAUUUUAUUUUAUGCCUGGUGUGCGUGGUGGGUUAUUUUCAUUUAUCGUCGUGCGCACCUUAUGGAAAUGGCAAUGAAAGACAAGAUAUUGAUACCUUUGAGACACCGCGUCAGAUAAACAGCUUAAAUGGCGCGGUGAAAUAGAAGAAAUGUUCGAAGAAGGCACGGAAAACCACGCACAAGUUGAAAAUACGUUGGAGAACCAAGAUAUAGUCAUGGAGCCAGUCGCAGACAGACUGUUGAGCCCCCGAAAUGUGUCAUUUUUUGUAUAUUUGGACCACAAAGAAAAAAUGAGCAACCAAAUUCUGCGGUUCGAUAAAGUAGUUUACAAUUACGGAGAUGGAUAUAACGUGCAUACUGGAAUCUUUACUGUACCGUUAACUGGUGCCUACAUCAUCUCCUUUCAUUUAGAGCUUUUACCAUUCUCAUCCAAUUCAAUCGCAUCCCGUCUUUACGUCAAUAGCAAAAUCAUGAUGAGCAGCGUGGUGGAUACGAAUUCUGGGACCGACGACGCUGGCCAAACCGUUCUUCUUUAUCUGAAAACAGGAGAAUCGGUGUACUUGAAAGUAGACAGUGGUGAAGUUUUCAACAACCAUCGCAGCAGUAUUUUCACUGGCGUACGUUUGCCAUAUGUUUAAAUAAAUGUUUAAACAUGGUCGGUCUCAUUGUAGAAUCAUUUUGUAGCUUAAGAAAGUUCUGUUAAAGAUAUACUAUCAACAUAUGUUUUUCAACAAAAUGUUAUGCUUUUCUGUUUAGAGAUGUCCCUGAUUAGGCUUCUGGAUAUAUUUACCCUCGCAAAUACAUUUAAUAACUUUUUCAGUUUCCGACUUUUAUUUUAUCUAUCUUGAUUUUACAAAAAGGAGGCAAUAAUAUUGAUGAAACUGUCAUUUUUUCCUUAAUUAUUUCUUAAUUUUCUGCGAUAUUGUUCUCUAUUUUCCAGUUUAUGAAAACUGUAAUGAAAUCUUUUCAAUAUAUUUGAACUUUAUGAUAAAUACGUUGAUUUUACAUAUUUGUUAGAAAAAUGUCAUCUUGUUUGGGCAACUAGUUUCAAUAUUUUUUAAUACUUACUAUUGAUAUAUGACAUUACUCAAAUUGUCGUGGACUUAGGAUAUGUGUACAGUUUUACUCCAAACAAAUCCAUGACAUAUCCAAAUUCAGAUUAACCACCUUUAAACCGAAAGUAGUUUCCAAGAAACACUUUAUCUAUAUACAAACAUUACUUAAUUAAAUACUAUGUAGCAUGAAUUUUCAAUUUUCGAGAAUGGGAGAAACGUUCCACCCUUUUCAGCGGUUUUUAUGUAGGCAUAUUUAUCAUGGGAUUCUCGAGUUUUGCUGAAUGGAGGAAUCUUCCACCCUUUACAUUGGUAAACACAAUAUUUGAAAUAAAACGUGUAUUGUUAAAGGGGAGAAAUAUCUCUAUUAUGAAAUACAAAUAAAGUUAGCAUUAAUUUCAAUUUUGUAAAAACAGGUCAAACUUAUAUUCAGUGUUUUUAUUUUUAUUUAAUUUGAAUUGACACGAAUUUUCAUUUCUCAUUUAAUGGAGGAACGUUCCAUCCUUUUCAAUAAAAGGCUUUAAACCUUUAAUUGUAAAGGAAACGUGUUGUUGAAAGACAAUUUUAAAAUAUAUAUGAAAUGAAAAUACCGUAGGCAAGAAUUUUCAAUUGUUACAAAAGGGAGGAACGUUCCACUCUUUCCAUUAGUAAACUAUAGACUUUAUUUGUCACAAAACAUGUAUUGUUGAAAGGGAGGAAUAUUCCUCGUCCCUUUGAGUGUUAAUUAUGUUAACAGAAUUUACAAGAAUUCUUAAAGUUUUACAGAAGGGAGGUUUCAUUAGUAAACUAUAGACUUCAUUUGUUACCAAACAUGUUUUGUUGAAAAAAAGAAUAUUCUUCUCUUUUAGUGUUUAUUAUGUAAACAUAAUUUACAAGAUUUCUUAAGUUUUGCAGAAGGGAGGAACGUUCCGUUCUUUUCAUUGGUAUACAUUUUAGGAAAAAUUUGUGCUGUUGCAAGGGAAGAAUAUUCCUCCCUCUAAAUUAGUUACGUAGGCAUGAAUUUUUAAGAAAGGUAGGAACGUUCCACCCUUUUAUUAGUACACUUAUUUUUUGGUAAAACAUGUCAACUUAUUUUCAGUGUUUUUAUGUAUAAAACAUUGUUUGUGAAAUGGAGGAACCUUCCAACCUUUUCAUAAUAGGUAGACUGUGUAAAACAUACAUUGUUAAAAGGGAGGAAUAUUUCUCCCUUUUUAUGUAAAACAGCAUCGACAUGAAUUCUCUAAUUUUGCAGAAGGGAGGAACGUUCUACCCUUUUCAUUCAAUGUAUUAAAUUAUACACAAUAUUUGUAAAAAAAGUCAUGCUGCCGAAAGGGAGGAAUAUUCCUCCCUUUAGAAUAGUUUGUGAAAUAAAAAAUACAAAGAUAAGAGAAAA
rnacentral:lncRNA from 1 species